GAGGGCGGGCCCCUCGGAUUCGCCGGUCAGGCGGUGAUUCCAAACCACCCUGAGCUGCUGGCGUAAAGAGCGCUGGUGGUGAGCGUCAGAGGAAAAGGCAAGGUUGACCUUGUCAGGU
rfam:Delta proteobacterium MLMS-1 ctg992, whole genome shotgun sequence.